GUUUAAAACAAACGAUGAUGUUUAAGAAACACCGCACUUGAUGCGUUUGAAAGGGAGAGCAGAAAAAGAGUCACACUGCUCUGCACUGCAGCAGCAGACAUGGGACCUUAAAGAAAAUACAAAGAAUACCUACUGGAUGAGUCCAGCCACCCUUCAAAGGCAACCAAAUACAGACGGAUAGCAAAUGAAAAAGAGCAGCAUACAUCAAGUGUAGAGGAAAUUACAAGAAACACCUGAGUUGUGCAUCCUGUAAGGCAAACCCAAAGCAAAGAAAGGUCUUUAAUGAGGUACGUUUGCUUUAACAUUAAUUCUUUAACAGUUACAAUAUGUACUAUGGAUGUUUUACAGUUUAACAUUGUAACUGCAUUCCUUAGAUUCCACUCUCACUUUUGUACUGGUGAACAAAAGUCUUCUCUGGAGUGAUACUCCAGAUUGAUACUGGCAAGUAUCAUACAGAAAAUUCCAGAUUAAGACAUAACUACAGAGGAUGCAAGCGGUCAGUCGUCUGAGAAUGGAUAAAAAGAAAGCAACUUGUCCAUACAGAAGAAGAGAAGCAGCAGGACCCCCCAAAUAAAAAUCCACCUGAAGUAAUGUGUAGAUUCAUUGUUCAUUAUUGAUUGUUGUGUUAAACUGGAUAAAUAGCUGUGUCAUCCUUAUCAUUCCAAUUAGAUUAGAUGAGGUGAAAAUAUUUAUGAAUUUGACACUUGACAAUUUGAUGAGGAUUGUUCUUGCCCCUAAAAGAAGUGUCUUGUGAAUAUGAGAUCGACAAAUUACUGUUUGUAUUUCUCUUGACAAUAUCUAUAUAUUGUAUCUUAAUUAUGCAAUCUAUGCAGCCAGCCAGAGAGGGAUCCUGUAGACAGUCGAUGAUGGGAUGGCCACCUACAGCAUACCCACACAGCAGUGCUACUCAGACAACUGAGGAUCAAGAAUAUGUCCAACUCCAAACAGAAGUUCAGGAAAUUUCCAAGAAUCAACCAGAAUGCAACAUGUCUGUUACAACAUUGGCCACCAUGAGGCGCCAAAAGAAAAGGUUGUUAGCAUUUAGUAUUGUAUCUUUUCCGUUUAAUUACACAAACAAACUUUUAAUGCAGGUGAACUGUUUACAAUUAUUAUCAUAAAAUAAUAAUAAUGUCUUCACAGGUAGACCCUUUGUUUUUGGAUGGAGAUGACAAAGGGACAAAGUGUACUCUUGCUGAUGUCUUUUGUGUUAUGGCAUAAUCUGACGGGGGUAUCAGUGUAACAUCUACUCAAGAUUUUUGAGGAGCAUUCCCCUGGCAUGGUACCAGUAACCACAUAUCUCUUUCACAAAGCUUAUGGACAACAUGGAAUCUAUGAACCACAUUUUUACUAUCCAGCAUGUGGAAACUACUUGGGGAGAAAUAAUACAAUUGAGUUACAGUGUGGGGCUUGUUGUACAGUAACUGAUUCAGAGAACUGUUUUAAAAGUGGUUGUUUUUUCCUAGUGCGUAAUUUGGCUUCACAAAUCAAAACAUUGCUUGAACAAAAACAAGCAACUUUUUAAAAAAAAAUGUCUGUCUGCAGAUGCUAUUUCAGAUAUACAGUGUGGAGAAGAGUACUUCAAACUAAAAGGAUCUGGAGAACUGGGUGAGGAUGACUUAUCUUUAAUUUGGAACUGUGUUAAGGAGCUCAAAGUAUCAAAUCUGGCCCAUACAAUGCCAAGUUGUAGAACUCUAAAGAACGCAUGGCAAUUAUCUGUCUUCCAUGUCUCUGGUUUGGCGAGAAGAAGCCAAACUAGUUACCAUUUUUCAAGCCAUUUGUAGAUGAGCUGUUAGUUCUGGAAAAAGAUGGCAUAAAAUGGAAAGACUCUGCAAAUGUAGAGCAUAUCUCCAAUGUGUGUGCUCUUAUAUGCAGUUCAGAUUCAGUUGCCCAUCAACUUCUCAGAAACACCAAACAAUUUAAUGGCUUUUAUGGAUGUGAUUUCUGUUACAAUGUUGGAGGUGGUCCUUACACAAACAAAGCACCAAAGCCACAUCUCAGAACUGAAGCUGAGCACUUUGAUCAUGCAAUGGCUGCAACAGCUGAGAAUCCUGUAAUGGGUGUAAAAGGGCCGUAACAGUUAAUGAAACUGAAAAAGUUUCAAAUGAUAAAUGGAUUUGUUCCAGAGUAUCAGCACAGUGUCUGCCUUGGUGUGACAAGACAACUAGCUAAACUGUGGUUAGACUCAACGAACCAUGACAAAGAGUGGUACAUAGGAACAAAAUCAGACCACGUUGACAAAGACCUCAUUGCAAUCCAACCCCCUGUUGAGAUAACUCGAGUGCCACGAUCUGUGGCAGACAGAAGCUAUUGGAAAGCAUAGGAGUGGAAGUCAUUCCUCUUAUUCUAUGCUUUGCCUAUAUUAAAUGGGGUUUUACUAAAGACAUUUUGGAACCAUCUUUUCCUUUUAGUGUUUGCUAUGCACAUUCUUUUGGGAGAAAAUGUGAAGCGCUGUGAUAUUGAUGUAGCAGAAAGAGCUCUCAAAAAGUUCACUAUGCAGUUUGAGAAGUUAUAUGGUACAGCAAAUAUGUCAUUCAAUGUUCAUCUACUGACACACAUUGCGACAAUAGUUAGGAACUGGGAGCCUCUGUGGGCCCCAUCAACUUUUUCCUUUGAAUCAUUUAAUGGCACUCUGUUACAUUACUUCCAUGGAACGACACAUGUUCCUGAUCAAACAGUAAAAAGAUUUCUUUGCUGGAGAAGUCUAAUAUAAAAAUCUGAGAAGUAUAUGGCAGAUGCUAAUGAUGGGGUUAAAUACAUUUUCUUUGAUCUCCUAAACAGCAAUUCAUCAACUUCUAAUUAAACUAGUCUAAAUUAAAUUGCCAGGGUUUUUGGAAAUUUUGUGAUGGCAAACUGUCAGAGUUACAAAGACUUGCUAUCAAAGACUUGCUGGGUGUUGCAGUCAGAAACUGUGUAUCGCUUCAUUGUCAGAGGCAUACUCUAUCAUUCUAGCUGCAACAUAAAUCUAAAAAAAAGGAUCAGUGGUAUAACAGGAUGGAA
rnacentral:lncRNA from 1 species